rnacentral:rRNA from 1 species
AGUGAACGCUGGCGGUAGGCCUAACACAUGCCAGUCGAACGGCAGCACAGUAAGAGCUUGCUCUUACGGGUGGCGAGUGGCGGACGGGUGAGGAAUACAUCGGAAUCUACUUUUUCGUGGGGGAUAACGUGGGGAAACCUACGCUAAUACCGCAUACGACCUACGGGUGAAAGCAGGGGAUCUUCGGACCUUGCGCGAUUGAAUGAGCCGAUGUCGGAUUAGCUAGUUGGCGGGGUAAAGGCCCACCAAGGCGACGAUCCGUAGCUGGUCUGAGAGGAUGAUCAGCCACACUGGAACUGAGACACGGUCCAGACUCCUACGGGAGGCAGCAGUGGGGAAUAGUGGACAAUGGGCGCAAGCCUGAUCCAGCCAUACCGCGUGGGUGAAGAAGGCCUUCGGGUUGUAAAGCCCUUUUGUUGGGAAAGAAAAGCAGCAGGUUAAUACCCCGCUGUUCUGACGGUACCCAAAGAAUAAGCACCGGCUAACUUCGUG